UCUGUGCAGAGAGGAGAGAACAGGGAUAGACAGACACAUAGUUGACAGGCUACAGAAGAGGCUACGCUAAUGCAAGGAGAUUGGAAUGACAAGUGGACUACACGUCUCGAAUGUUCAGAAAGUUAAGCUUACGUAGCAAGAAUCUUAUUGACUAAAAUUAUUAAAAUGAUACAGUACUGCUGAAGUAGGCUAGCUGGCAGUGGCUGCGUUGUUGACUUUGUAGGCUAGCUGGCAGUGGCUGCGUUGGUGACACUACACUAAUCAAGUCGUUCCGUUGAGUGUAAUAGUAUCUACAGUGCUGCUAUUCGGGGGCUAGCUGGCUAGCUCGCAGUGUUGAUUACGUUACGUUGCGUUAAAAGAACGACAAUAGCUGGCUAGCUAACCUAGAAAAACGCUCUAGACUACACAAUUAUCUUUGAUACACAGACGGCUAUGUAGCUAGCUAUGUAGCUAGCUACGAUCAAACAAAUCAAACCGUUGUGCUGUAAUGAAAUGAAAUGAAAAUGUGAUACUACCUGUGGAGCGAAGCGGAAUGCGACCGGGUUGUUGAGUGCGGAAGUUCUAUUCAGUAGACGUUGGCUAGCUGUUGGCUAGCUAGCAGUGUCUCCUACGUUAAGGACGACAAAUAGCUGGCUAGCUAACCUCGGUAAAUUAAGAUAAUCACUCUAAGACUACACGCUCUAAACUACACAAUUAUCUUGGAUACGAAGACAGCAAAGACAACUAUGUAGCUAGCUAACACUACACUAAUUAAGUCGUUCAGUUGAGUGUAAUAGUUUCUACAGUGCUGCUAUUCGGUAGACGGUGGACGUUUGCUAGCUGGCUAGCUACUGGGCAGAUAGCAGUGUAGACUACGUUAGGACGACGUAAUACGAAGUUGCAAUAGAAGUGCUGACUGUUUCACUUUGUUGUCCUCUUUCUUUUCCUUUUUCUUCUGUCCUUAUUUUGUCCUUAUUUUGUCUUCCUUUCUUCUGUUAACUAGAUAUUUUUUGUUGUUAUUCUUUGUAAGCUAGCUAGCUUCUAAAAAAAAGGAAGGAGAGGCCUGUAAUUUAUCAUCAUAGGUACACUUCAACCAUGACAGACAAAAUGAGAAAAAAAAUCCAGAAAAAUUACAUUGUAGUAUUUAUAAUGAAUUUUACUCAAAGCAAAGAAGGUAUCUCAAAGCCCCCUCUCAUACCUUAACUGCCUAACCACUACUUAGCUAAUUUUGCACCACCUGGUGCCCUAACCAAAAUACAGGGGGUGAUCCGCCCAGGUCUUACCUAGUGUGCUUAGACAGUGAAUAUACUACGGGUAUAUGUAUGCCCGCGGGCCUAUUGCCUAAGCACUCCCUAGGUGCCUUCCCCUUCCCCCUGGGAACAAAUGAAACAGGAGAACAAACAAUCUCAAACAAACUAAGAAACAAAAGGACAUCAAAUAAGCGCUAUCUGAGCAACAAACUCACACAGUACAUACCAACGACCAACAUGCUACGACCAACAUGCUACGACCAACAUGCUUACAACCCUCCUCUCUCAGCAAUGAUCUAUAUCACAUUCAAUCUCUCCCCUGAACAACAGAACACUGGCUUUUAUAGCUUCAGAAGGCAUUGGAAAUUGGAGAGGGGGGUCAGCUCUCCAAUUAAUCGUGGAGUCGACCAAUCAGCUGCUGGGGGAUUUCAGGAAGCCAUCUCCUGAAACACACUCAAAUACACAAACUACAACACCGAAACUGGGGAACGUAACAUAUGAGGAUAGUAGAUUGCCAUAGUUAUUUUAAUAUCUUCAAUAUGUGUCUUCAAAUUCGAUAAUUGCAUCCCCAGUGUGUCUGUCUUCACUUGUAGCCUAGUUCGGAACUGCAAUGCCUGUGAAAAGGAUCCAAUCACGUGACGGUAGGGGUGAAACGGUUCGGUACAGGGUCCACGGUGCACAUUUCGGUACACACUGCGAACCGAACAUACAUUAAUCAUAUAUUAUAGCUAGGAAAAUAUAUAUAUAAUUGUAAAAAAAAAAAAUAUUAUACUGCAUAAACCAAUGGCGUAUAAAUUAAUGUGAGAAAAAUAUCUACAUAGUAAUAAAGUUAAAAAAAAUAAAUAAUAAUUGUCUCGUAGCUGUAUGCAGCUCCACUCCUUAGUUAUUUCACUCCAGCGACAACAGAGCUGAGAGAUCGUCUUAGCAGCAAUUAGCUUAUGAAGGAAUUAGCAGUUAGCUAAAUGCAGAGGAGCAACAUGGCAGGCAUUGGCGAGCCAGAACUAAAAGACGCCCCUGUAUCAUUCCGGUCUGCCAUCUGGGAACAUUUCGGUUUCCCCGUAAACUAUAACGGGGAUGGCCAACGAGCGGCGGAUAAAACCUCUACAACAUGUAGCCUCUGUUCAUUGCCAAUAGCCUAUACGAGUAAGAGGACUACUCAUUUGCGCUGACAUCACACCAACCGACAACCAAUCGGCAUCCACUUCUCCACACAGCCUUCAGGCAACAACAUGCGUCUGACUCCGGUAGGGCUAAAGAAAUCAAUGCAGCGAUAGCAAAAUUCAUAGCAGCAGAUAUGAGACCCUUCUCUGUGGUAGAGAAUGAGGGGUUCAGAAACAUGUUUAAAGUGGUCGAGCCGCGCUUCACUAUUCCUUCGCGUACACAUUUGGCCCAGACAUUAACAACUUGAGAGCGAGUUGUCAGAAACGUGGUCUGUUGCUCUUCAAACACGUCCCCUUGAGAGUCGUUACACCAGUGUAAACUUGGGGGAAGAGCUAAGGGAAGUAGUUGCAGUGUGGAAGUUGGAGGGGGAUAACGAAACGAUUCCUGUGACCACUGACAACGCUAGAAAUAUUGUAAAUGCAGUUGCACUAGCUGGAUUGGUGCCACAGAUAGGAUGCUUUGCUCACGUUAAUAAUCUAGCAUCUCAAAAAGCAAUGUCAGUGAAUCCAACCUCUCGCCUCCAAGCAAAGAUCAGGAAGGUGGUAUACUUCUUUCAUAAAAGCACAACAGCUGCAUAUGUUUUCAAGACAGAACAGGAGAUGCUGGAGCUGCCAAACCACAAACGAAUCCAAGAUGUCCUUACUAGAUGGAAUUCAAGCCAUGACAUGGUUGAGAGAUACCUUGAGCAGAAAGUCGCGGUGUAUUCUACACUGUCUGAUCAAGCUGUGAGGAAGAAUGUCAAAGAUAUUGUGACUUUGUCUGACAAUGACAUAAAACUAGCAGAGGAAGUUAGCAAAGUGUGGAAACCUCUCAAAACAGUCACAACACUGAUAUGCACUGUGUGCGUUCCAUCAGUUUCCAUGGUCCUGCCUAUGAAAGACAAUGAUCCUGAAAUCAAUGGUGGCAUCUGAUGAAGAUGAACCCGCAGUAAGGGAUGUGAAGACUGCUAUCAGAGUUGACCUCAAGUCCCUGCUGCACCUGGAUGCUGCUCCCUCGUCUGAGAGUCUACAAUGAACUCACAGAGGAGAUGGUGACCAAUAUACAACAGGGUCAAUCCACAGAUACCGCAGGAGCCAACCCCUCUCCAGAGAUGGCAGACGACGGGGGUUCUCCUCCAGAAAAUAAGUCUGCCAUGGAUGAGCUUUUUUGGGGAGUUGUUCACGACCCAGGAGCAGGGAACCAAGUCAAAGGUCAAGGUCAUAGAGGAGGAGGUGACCUCAUACAGGGAAGUGGACUGUAUUCCCCAGGAUGCUGAUCCACUUACAUGGUGGAAGACUAAAGGGUUAGUAUACCCUCAUGUUGCCAUGUGAGCAAGGCGCUACCUGGCUGUGUCUGGGACCUCUGUCCCUAGCGAGAGGGUUUCAUCCACAGCGGCUGACAUUGUUACAGCAAGCAUUAUCUGUGCUCACUGCAGAUAAUGUGGAUAGACUCAUCUUUAAGAAAAACUUGAAAAUCUGAUUUAAAAAAUAUAUAUUAUUAUAAUUAACCAGUCUCAAGUGGUCCUAUUUUGUUUAGGGCACUGCUAUGUGACUCAAUUCUUCAAUAUGUUGCUUGACUAUACACUCUUUUGUUGUUUUUUAAAUUACAAUUGUAUUGUUUUAUGUUAUAAGGCAGGCACUGCUGUUUUUGAUGUCCCUUUGUUUCCAUAUGCUCCUGGGAACUCAAGCUACCCAUGUUUACUAUUAUAAUAAAUGGAAAAUCUAAAUACAAAUGACAUAUUUCUCAGGCGUUUAUUUUGUCGAUGUAUCGAAACCGUACCGAACCGUGACACCGCUGUUCCGUAUCGUACCGAACCGUGACACCACUGUUCCGUAUCGUACCGAACCGUGAUACCACUGUUCCGUAUCGUACCGAACCGUGACACCACUGUUCCGUAUCGUACCGAACCGUGACACCACUCUACCGUAUCGUACCGAACCGUGACACCACUGUACCGUAUCGUACCGAACCGUGACACCACUGUACCGUAUCGUACCGAACCGUGACACCACUCUACCGUAUCGUACCGAACCGUGACACCACUCUACCGUAUCGUACCGAACCGUGACACCACUCUACCGUAUCGUACCGAACCGUGACACCACUGUUCCGUAUCGUACCGAACCGUGACACCACUGUACCGUAUCAUACCGAACCGUGAAUUUUGUGAACCGUUUCACCCCUACUUGACGGGCAUUGACUAAUAACAAUUGAGAUAUCUGAGAGAGCCACGUGAGUGAGAGGUGCUUUCGAGCAUGGUGAUUAGCAGCCAGGAGAAGGGAAUUAUAAUUAUUAUAUUCAGCUCGAGGGCACAACGGCCAGAUUUUGUUUAGGGGGCAUUACGGCAACUCAAGGGGCCAUGGCGUCACAAGGGGUUUCUUGCAGUGCCUGCUACUGCCUUGCGCAGUAUAUUGUAUUGUUUAUUUUUUUGUCCGUUUAUUUUUUAUCAAUAAAACAUUUUGUUUUAAA